GACGAACGCUGGCGGCGUGCUUAACACAUGCAAGUCGAACGAGGGGAUUAGAAGCUUGCUUUUAUGACCCGAGUGGCAAACGGGUGAGUAACGCGUAGACAACCUGCCUCUCAGAUGGGGACAACAUCCCGAAAGGGGUGCUAAUACCGAAUGUUGUGCAACUUCCACAUGGAGGAUGCACCAAAAGGUGGUUUCGGCCACCGCUGAGAGAUGGGUCUGCGUCUGAUUAGCUUGUUGGCGGGGUAACGGCCCACCAAGGCGACGAUCAGUAGCCGGUCUGAGAGGAUGAACGGCCACAUUGGAACUGAAGACACGGUCCAGACUCCUACGGGAGCAGCAGUGGGAAUCUUCCGCAAUGGGCGCAAGCCUGACGGAGCAAUGCCGCGUGAGUGAUGAAGGAAUUCGUUCCGUAAAGCUCUUUGUUAUGACGAAUGUGCAUGUUGUGAAUAAUG
rnacentral:rRNA from 1 species